CCACUUUGGAAGUUUCUCGGCGAAACUAAGGUGCAAGGAGUCAUUCGGUCGUCUCAUUUCGUAUCGAUAACAUGGAUCGCGUUGCGUCAGGUUAUUUAUCGAUAGCAGAGAUAAUAUAAAAGUAACAGAACAUCAAUAUAUGGACGCAACGACUAUUAAUGGUGGAUCCGAUGAAUCUUCAUGGAAAUUUGACAUAUCACAGCUCGGACUUCUUUGUCUUCUUUGGGAAUGCUCCAAAUGUGGCUCAAAAGGCAAGAAUAUUUUUCACAAGCUCCAUUUC